rnacentral:rRNA from 1 species
UUGAAUUCUGCAGAGACUGCCAGACUAGGGACCGGGAGAGGUGUGGGGUACUCUAGGGGUAGGGGUAAAAUCCUGUCAUCCUUAGAGGACCACCAGUUGCGAAGGCGUCACACUGGAACGGAUCCGACGGUCAGGGACGAAGCCUAGGGGCACGAACCGGAUUAGAUACCCGGGUAGUCCUAGGUGUAAACGCUGUGAACUUGGUGUCGGGAGUCCGCAAUGGGCCCCCGGUGCCGGAGUGAAGAUGUUAAGUUCACUGCCUGGGGAGUACGGUCGCAAGGCUGAAACUUAAAGGAAUUGGCGGGGGAGCACCGCAACCUGAGGAUUGUGCGGUUUAAUUGGAUUCAACGCCGGAAAACUCACCAUGGCCGACGGACAAAUGAAAGCCAGUGUAACGAGCUUGCUGGAUUGUUCGAGAGGUAUUGCAUGGCCGUCGUCAGUUCGUACCGCAAGGCGUUCUGUUAAGUCAGAUAACGAACGAGACCCUCAUCCCUAUUUGCCAGCUGCGUCCCCGGACGCAACGCACUAUAGGGAGACCGCUGUCGAUAAGGCAGAUGAAGGCGAGGGCAACGGUAGGUCAGUAUGAUCCGAAUGCCAUGGGCUACACGCGCAAUACAAAGGACGGGACAACGGGCUGCAACUCCGAGAGGAAAGACGCUAUCCUGAAACCCGUUCGUAGUUCGGAUUGAAGGCUGUAACUCGCUCUCAUGAAGCUGGAUUAGGUAGUAAUCGCGUCUCAAUAGGGCGCGGUGAAUAUGUCCCUGCUCCUUGCAC